CUUUGGCAAGAAAUGGUCGCAGUUUCGAAAAAGUUUAAACAAUAUUCUGGAAAGAACUUAUUGAACAAUAAAAGAUGGUUAUAAAAUGACGGUGAAGUACAAACUGAACAUCAAUGUUUUGAGAUGGUGAUAAAAUGACUGAAGUACAAACUGAAAAUCAAUGUUUUGAGAUUCAAAUCGUAAAUGAUGGAAUAAACGGUUUAUUCCACUACAUUCAUUUUAAAGUUUAACUUAUGGUUUUACUAUGUAAUGGAGGAAAAAACGCAUCGUGUCCAUAUAAAUUUUAAAACAGUUUAAAUCCUAAGGACUGUUUUAAACCUCAUGGCGCAAAUUGUAUUGAUUGAAAUCAUUUUGGCUUUAUGAAAAAUGACAAUUUUGGGGAAAACCACAAAAACCAAAGAUCGUUUCUUAUAAUAGCCAACACAAUUUAAGAUUGCCGCCAGAAAAUCCAACAGAAGUGGAACAAAUUUGUAGGUCUCAAUUGAGCCUACUACAACUGUAGCUAUUUAAAUGGCUUUUAUUACAAAAAUUAAUAAAGUGGUUUAAAAUCUAAUAUAA